GGGUGAUUAGCUCAGAGGCAGAGCAGCCGACUCUUAAUCGGCGGCGCGUCGGUUCGAUCCCGACAUCACCCACCA
rnacentral:tRNA from 1 species